GAGUUCCUGGACAAGUGCGCGGGCAGCAAGCUGAGGGCCGGGGCGGGUGGCGGCCUCUGGGGCCGGGGACGCCCCCCAGUGCAGGCAGCCCCGAGAGAGGGGGCGUUGCGCUCCCCGCCCCUGAGGCUCGGCUCUGGGAAGGAAAACGGGGGGCGACUCGAGUUCGUCUCGGCAGGACGAGCACAGCCCCGCGUCCAGGCACUCCCCGCUGACCCCGUGUGCGGGGUGUCUCCGCAUGCGACCCUGGGUACCACUUCUCCCAGAUGCCUGUUCCUCCAAGGCAACAGUUUGGGAUGAGUAUCUCACAGGACCGUUUGGCUUGAUUGCACAGUACUCACUUCUAAAGGAACAUGAGGUGGAGAAAAUGUUCACACUCAAAGGAAGCCGCUUGCCAGCAACUGAUGUCAAGAAUAUCAUUUUUUUCAUCACACCUUGGCUAGAACUGAUGGAUAUAAUUGCUGAAAAUGUGCUUAGGUAUCUCAGAGCUGAUGGUUGGUCCAUACAGAAUCAUUUCUCUAGUGGUUUUAGUGCUCAUCAGGACACCUUUGCUUGCCAGCAUUUUAGAAAGUGGAUCUUUGGACAGAUAUGAGAGUGUGCCGGAGGAGAAUGGGGGGUCAGGAGCAGGAUACUCUGCAGUCAGCCAAGGAUAGAUCCUCAGAACCCAGUGUGGUCCCCAAGUCUGCCAGGAGUGAUGUCUGAGCGCAUAGCCAGGAGUUAUCCCUGAGCACCUGCAGGUGUGGCCAAAAAACUGUAAAUAGAGAAUGGGAAAUUUUGUGUAUUGGGGGUUGGGGAGGCAGUGCUAACCACAUAACCCCCCUCUCUCAGGACAGCAGAAAGCUGUGGCCUGUCUCAGUAGAAGGACCCAAAUUUCUUUAUAAAAAGAAAAACAGCUAAUGGUUCUUUUUCAAGUACUGAAUACCAUAUGCUCAAAUUUCAUAAACAAAGUCAGGAGAAACUGAUUAAAAUUUAAUGCUGCAGCAUCUAUGGAGGAAAUGCACCAGCCCAGUCUGCAUUACAUUUGAUCGAUGUGGCCCCUAAGGACUUAAAAGCAUGCGGGCUAUUUGUGGAAGAUCGGGCGUGGUGUGGAGUGACUUUUUAUUUUCCUGAGAGCCUUCACCCUAAGAUCAGGGACGAGACAAGAAUGCCCACUCUCUCCACUACUGUUCAAUAUAGUACUGGAAGUACUUGCAAUAGCAGUUAGGCAAGAAAAAGAUAUUAAGGGCAUCCAGGUAGGGAAGGAAGAAAUCAAGCUCUCACUAUUCGCAGAUGAUAUGAUACUAUACUUAGAGAACCCUAAAACCUCUAUCAAGAAACUCAUAGAAACAGUAGGCUUGUAUAGUAAAGUGGCAGGCUAUAAAAUCAAUACCCAAAAAUCCAUGGUUUUCCUAUACGCAAAUAGUGAAAGAGAAGAAAAUGACAUGAAGAAAACAAUUCCAUUCACAAUUGUUCCCCCCCCCAAAAAAAAUCAAGUACCUGGGAAUCAGUAUAACUAAGGAAGUAAAGGACCUGUACAAAGAAAAUUACAAAACACUACUUAAGGAAAUAAAACAGGACACGAGGAAAUGGAAAAAUAUCCCCUGCUCUUGGAUGGGGAGAAUCAACAUUGUCAAAAUGGGAAUACUUCCCAAAGCACUGUACAAAUUCAAUGCGAUCCCUAUAAGGAUACCCAUGACAUUCUUCAAAAAAAUGGAGCAAACACUCCUGAAAUUUAUAUGGAACAAUAAGCCCCCACGAAUAGCUAAAGCAAUUCUUGGAAAAAAUAAAUUGGGAGGAAUCAACCUGCCCUGCCUAACUUCAAGCUCUACUACAAAGCAGUAAUAAUGAAACCAGCAUGGUACUGGAACAAAGGCAGAGCUGCAGAACAAUGAAACAAAGUUGAAUAUACUGACAUCUACUCCCAAGGAUAUGAGCAUCUAAUCUUCGAUAAGUGGGCAAGAAAAGUGAAAUGGAGCAGGGAAAGCCUCUUUAAUAAAAUGU